GUCCAACUCCCCUGCAAUGAACAGGGACACCACAGCUAGAUCAGGCUGCCCAGGGCCUGAUCCAGCCUCACCUUGAAAGUCUCCAGGGACACAGCAUCAACCACAACACUAGAACAGCUGAAGGCAGAGCAUGCAGAGGUGCUUUGUUUUAUAACCACACCAAUUGCUCAGGAACAAGAGAUCAGCCUGCAUUGGACUGAACUGGAUGGAUUAUGCUUCAUGCCAAGUAAAAAGGCUCCCAGACAGAUACUCUUCGAGAAUUGCUGGUAGAAAGAUUCUUACAAAACUACAUUCCACAUCAAAUGUAAGAAUAUGUUUUACUUUUUCUUCAAGAAGUGACAGC
rnacentral:lncRNA from 1 species